AGCUUUGUGCAGUGGCAGUAUCGAGCCAAUGGGGUUUAUCUGAGGUGCGAUUAUUGCUAAUUGAAAACUUUUCCCAAUUAAAAACAAACAAACAAAAAACUAAAAUUUAAAACACACACCAGAAAAAAAUGAUCUUUUAACGUGU